UACGAAGGGGGCUAGCGUUGCUCGGAAUCACUGGGCGUAAAGCGCACGUAGGCGGAUCUUUAAGUCAGGGGUGAAAUCCCAAGGCUCAACCUUGGAACUGCCUUUGAUACUGGGGAUCUCGAGUCCGGAAGAGGUGAGUGGAACUGCGAGUGUAGAGGUGGAAUUCGUAGAUAUUAGGAAGAACACCAGUGGCGAAGGCGGCUUACUGGUCCGGUACUGACGCUGAGGUGCGAAAGCGUGGGGAGCAAACAGG
rnacentral:rRNA from 1 species